GCCACUGUCAGAAGACAGGACACUGGGCUAGAUGGAUCAUUGGUCUGACCCAGUCUGGCCAUUCUUAUGUUAUGUCUCAUGCAACCUCUGAAGUGUUUUUUUUUUUCUCUCCAAUCAUGAUACUUUCAAUUAUCCAAUGUUGCUUUGUCAGGAUUUAAUGUUGGUUACUGGACACUGAACAGGAGGUUUAGAAUAAUAUGUCCUUGUCCUACAGUGAUAUGUGGCCACCGUUACCAGAGUAAAGCCAAGAUUUCGGGCAGGUUGCUGUCAUCCUGGGCAAAGGGGAGGGGAUAUGGCUAAAUGGGAGAAAGGGUGCUGUGGAAACUCCAUUGUCUGAUUUAAUGCAUCAGAGCGAGGGUAGUCAAAACUCAUCUUCACUUUUCUUGUUGAUGAAGCAACUCCGAGAUUGGGGUGAGGAGCUAGUAUUAAUUACCACCUGAUUGUUGGUGUUAUUCUUGGCAUAUUUCAGACCUUGUAACUAUGUGAUGUGGAAGGAAAAAUGUGGCACCCCCACUAUUUACCAGUGUUAAAAUUAUACAGUAAACAGGAAUUCUCUGCACUUCUAGGCCAACAGGUCUGUCACCUCCUAUCAGCAGGGAGAGAGGAAGCACUUGUGUUUGGCCAAGGUGCUUUUCAGUUGACAGCUGUUGGACAUCUGCUGGGAGAUGCUUGGAUUAAGAUGUAGUUUCAUGGAAGGCAGAUAGAUCCAAAGCAGAGAGGUGCAGAGGGCUGAGGGGAUUCUACAUUAGCAGAACUUAAUGCAGGAUCUGACUUGGGUUUUUUAUUUUUGUUUUUUUUAUUUUGUUUUGUUUUGUUGUUAUAAAGCAUUCAGGAUGCCUUUGUAGAGAUGUGUUAAUAAUCUGUGCUCUUCUUCACGUUCUGAGGAGGCUAUUGAGUACUUUUAGAGAGUCCAGAUGAAGCUGCAGUGAGGCCUUAACAAGUGCAGGAUCAGGUUCUAAAUGGCCAGCAAGUCAACAAACUGAACAAACACUUGGCUCUUUCUGCUACAGUUACCUUCUGGGGCAACACUCAACAAUACCAGGUGAAAAGAAAUAGUUCUGUGGUAGUGUUGUGACUGCUGUUGCUUUCAGAAGUUGUGUUCAUGCUGGCUACUCUCUCUCAGGCUUUGUCUACAUGUACAAGCUUAGAACAUUGCCAUGGCAGCACUUUAAUGCGACAGAGUAAACAUGACAAGAGCGCUGGGAGAGAGCUCCCCCAGGGCUGUAGACAAAACACCCCUAGGAAGGGAGUAGUUCACAGGACUGGAAGCGCAUUUACAUUACUGCACUGUGACUUGCUGCAUGCACAGAAUCCAUGGUGAGUAGCAAUGCUGAGCACCAAAUCCUCAGGGCCUGAAGGUUCUGUUUCUCCAGCAGCAGGGAGCUCACAGCACACCUCUGUGAGAGGAGGAGCCACAUGCUGCCCAGGGGCUCUGCCCAGAUCGUGGCAAAGCCUGGGUCAAGGAAUUCCCUGAACAUCGGUAGAGCUGCAUGCUCAGCUAUCGGUGCCUCCAGAUUGGUUAGUGGGCAUCACACAGAGCCCUUCUGAGAGUUUGGCCAUAGUGAGAGGAAGCUCUAGCUGGUCUCAGGCACCCAUGCUGACCACCAGUCCUACAUCCCACAGGGCUGCUCAGAGAUUGGUCAAUCCAAAGAGAAAAGGCUGGUGUAGAAAAUUCUUGCCCUUUAUCUUGUCUGCUCUAGAGCCAUAAGGGCGGCGCUGUCCUCUGCUAGGAGACAGGUGACUUUUCUCUUCCUCUUCUCCAAAGCACACAAGAAGCAGGAGUCUCAAUGCAUUCCAUACAUAACUAGACAAACAUAACAAGGGCUCAGUCCAGGACCCAAAGUGCUUCCCAUUUCUCCUAGCACUCACUGAAGAGGCCCAGAAGGUCAGAACUGGGAGCCACGUAUCUUUCAAUCCCCAUAGCUUGAUUAGACAACAAGGAAGCCAGGCCAUUGCCACGUGCACUCACCUGUUAUUGCUGCUGGGCUUAAAAACUGGCAUCUAGCUUCCUUGGCCAGCCACAUGGGGCAGAACAUCUGGCAGAUUGGUCAACUAGUUAGGAGGCAGGAGUGCUGGGCAGGUGUAUAGUCGACUACUCAUUGACAUCCUUACCUCAGACAACUUCAUCUGCCUCCUUCUGGUUCAAGUAGAGCCUCCGAGCCAAUGAGCAGGGUGAGCUGAGUCCCCAAGCCAGAAGCUUUGUGCACAGAGCCCUUGGGGACCUAGAGCCCUGCUGGCUCUUUUCUCUCCAAGUUCUAGUGACCUGCCAUGUGUCAGCUGCAGUCUGAGCCCUGCCUGUGGGCCUCAGUGUCAGACCUGCCAGCCCUCACUAGAGCUCACUUGAGCAGUGUGUGCCUGUCCGGGGAAGGAAGCAGCCACGAGGGAGACUUAGUUAUACCCUUUAUCAGAGGGGUAGCCGUGCUACAGGACUCCUUGUCACUUUUAGUUAUACCCUAGAGUGUGCAGCAAGGUGUUCAGUUCCCCUGGGGAACUGGCUGCAUCUUAGUCUGGGGGAUGCAACUUUAUUGCAGGUGAGUCUGUCCUGGGAUCUUGUAGCAUCCGCAGCCCGGUCUCUGAGAUGUGGGGAAGGAGCCUCUCUGGGCGGGCAACUCAUCCUGGGUCUGGAAGUAGUAAUGGCAUACACCUUAAUUAACAAUAUCAGCGCUUUGUUAAUUGCUCCUCGAGCAGGAUUUCCAGUCUCCAAAGCUCAUGUGAUCUCCUCGGUGGAGCGAGGGGAGGAACUGCAGAUCCCAGAUCUCCAGAGCUAUGAGAAAGGGAAGAUCAUCAGCGAUAUCCACAUAGCAGGUGAUGGGCCGGUGAGAGAGAACAAAGAGGAAAGCCUUCA